rnacentral:rRNA from 1 species
UACGGAGGGUGCAAGCGUUUAUCCGGAUUCACUGGGUUUAAAGGGUGCGUAGGUGGGUCUGUAAGUCAGUGGUGAAAUCUCCGUGCUUAACAUGGAAACUGCCAUUGAUACUAUAGGUCUUGAAUUUUUCUGGAGGUAAGCGGAAUAUGUCAUGUAGCGGUGAAAUGCUUAGAUAUGACAUAGAACACCAAUUGCGAAGGCAGCUUGCUACAGGGGAUAUUGACACUGAGGCACGAAAAGCGUGGGGGAUCAAAACAGG